rnacentral:rRNA from 1 species
UACAGAGGGUGCGAGCGUUAAUCGGAAUUACUGGGCGUAAAGCGUGCGCAGACGGUCAUGAUAAGUCGGGGUGUGAAAGCCCCGGGCUCAACCUGGGAAUUGCAUUCGAGACUGCAUGGCUAGGGUGCGGAAGAGGGAAGCGGAAUUUCCGGUGUAGCGGUGAAAUGCGUAGAUAUCGGAAGGAACACCAGUGGCGAAAGCGGCUUCCUGGUCCAGCACCGACGUUCAGGCACGAAAGCGUGGGGAGCAAACAGG